UACGUAGGUGGCAAGCGUUGUCCGGAUUUAUUGAGCGUAAAGCGAGUGCAGGCGGAAUGUCAAGUCAGCGGUAAAAUUUCGGGGCUCAACCUCGUCGUGCCGUUGAAACUGACACCCUUGAGUGAGUGAGAAGUAAGCGGAAUGCGUGGUGUAGCGGUGAAAUGCAUAGAUAUCACGCAGAACGCCGAUUGCGAAGGCAGCUUACCGGCGCUCAACUGACGCUGAGGCUCGAAAGCAUGGGUAGCGAACAGG
rnacentral:rRNA from 1 species